rnacentral:lncRNA from 1 species
AUGGUGACACAGGGAAGACCUCCCCGAAACAGCGACAGGAAGAUACACAGAGGUGACGAAGGAGGGGAGAGACGAGGAAGUGAGGGGUCCCUCCAGGAAGCGAGACACCUGGCUACCUGGGGUUCCAGAGAGAACAGAGACAGGGGAGGUCAGGAAACCACAGGCUUUCCCGGAGCUGGAGAACAGCUCGGUGGAUUAUCAGAAGCCGGAGAUACAGCGGGUCCUACGGGCUGCCAGAAAGACAAAGCCCAGGUGGCCCGCACAGAAUCGACGCCCCAGCAGCGGUGCAGCCCCCACACCAGCCCUGUAAGCACCAGCAAAGCAUCGGCUUUAAAGGGAGGGCGUCCAGCAAAGUUCUGGGGUGCAGAGCUCCAGCUGGAGUUCUAUCCCCAGCCCAACUAUCACUGGGUGGGGGGAAGGGGCGGCACCAGAGUCUCCAGACAGGCGGCUCUCCCAACACCCCUCCCAUGCACCUUUUCUGCGAGGCGUUGGGGGGUGGGUUCUGCCAAAGUGAGAGUGGGAUCAGGAAGCAAGAGGUCCAGGCCCCGAGAGCUGAGUAACGGACCCCCGGACCCCCGAGCAAUGGAGGUGGGCCACCCGCUGUGCCUGCGGCCCGGCCACCCUUCAGGUGCACUGGGUAGGAGAGGUCAGAGGCCUCAGGGGGGAUCCUCCAGGGGCGGGAGGGGGGCCACCCCCAGAAAGACUGCUCUUCCGUGGCCUCCCUGCAGCCUCUCCCCCGGGGCCGCACCUGCCGCCAAGGCCCAUGCUACCCCCACUCGGCCCUGCGACCCGCAGCGGCCUCUUACCUCCGGUCAGGCAGGCGUUUGGGGAACACAAGUGGGCUGGGGUCAGCCUGGAUUUGACUCAGUCGCCCUCUCUGCCCUGCUGGCAUGGGAGCCUCAGGGCCUGUGGGCACAGGAGGCUGUAGGAAAAAGAGGAGAUGAGCCGUCAGCCAGAGCCAGGCCACGGGGGCAGAUCGAGGGGCAGCGGGAGGCCAGGCGCACAGAUGGGUCUGACUGCACCUGCCGGGCGGUCAGCAGCCCCCACACACAUACACACACUCACAUGCCACCAGCUGGGGCAGGUGGGACCUGGGAAUGGGGGGUCUCUGGCCCCAAGUUGAAGGUCUGCCUCCCCACCCACUGGCUCUAUGACCUUGGGAUGAUCAAGUCUCUGAGCCUCACUUCCCCUCCUCAUAAAAUGGGGAUCCUGGUGCUCCUGCCUGGUCCAGGAGGAGAUAAACAGAGAAGGCCACGUGGCCUGGCGCGCAGCAGCACCCAGCCAGCACCUGCCUGGAGGCAGGCCUGA